GUCAGGAUGGCCGAGUGGUCUAAGGCGCUGCGUUCAGGUCGCAGUCCACUUGCGUGGGCGUGGGUUCGAAUCCCACUUCUGACA
rnacentral:tRNA from 1 species